rnacentral:rRNA from 1 species
CAGCCGCCGCGGGAAAACAGAGGGUGCGAGCGUUAAUCGGAUUUACUGGGCGUAAAGCGUGCGUAGGCGGCUAAUUGAGUCGGAUGUGAAAUCCCCGGGCUCAACCUGGGAACUGCAUCCAAAACUGGCGAGCUAGAGUAUGGUAGAGGGUGGUGGAAUUUCCUGUGUAGCGGUGAAAUGCGUAGAUAUAGGAAGGAACAUCAGUGGCGAAGGCGACCACCUGGACUGAUACUGACACUGAGGUGCGAAAGCGUGGGGAGCAAACAGGAUUAGAUACCCCUGUAGUCCCUGUCUCUUAUAC